AAUCCCUAAACCCAUCUGGGUUUGUGCAUGGGCGCUCGCCUCUUGGGCGUCGCCUCAAAGUCAUCUGUCUUAUGAGCGGACGAGAUCCUUUCGGACUGACCGUUUGUGGGACCCAAAAUCUCUG
rnacentral:misc_RNA from 1 species